rnacentral:rRNA from 1 species
GCCCUUAGAGUUUGAUCCUGGCUCAGAACGAACGCUGGCGGCAGGCCUAACACAUGCAAGUCGAGCGCACCUUUCGGGGUGAGCGGCGGACGGGUUAGUAACGCGUGGGAAUAUACCCUUUGGUACGGAAUAGCCUCUGGAAACGGAGAGUAAUACCGUAUGAGCCCUUCGGGGGAAAGAUUUAUCGCCAAAGGAUUAGCCCGCGUUAGAUUAGGUAGUUGGUGGGGUAAUGGCCUACCAAGCCUACGAUCUAUAGCUGGUUUUAGAGGAUGAUCAGCAACACUGGGACUGAGACACGGCCCAGACUCCUACGGGAGGCAGCAGUGGGGAAUCUUGGACAAUGGGCGCAAGCCUGAUCCAGCCAUGCCGCGUGAGUGAUGAAGGCCUUAGGGUCGUAAAGCUCUUUCGCCUGUGAAGAUAAUGACGGUAGCAGGUAAAGAAACCCCGGCUAACUCCGUGCCAGCAGCCGCGGUAUAAGGGCG